AUGACCACAUAGCGAAUUAAGACCAAACAGAAAAGCUAUUGAGGAUAACUCCAGCAAAAGUAGAUUUUUUAAGCCUCCUGAAUUCUUAAGGGAUUAGCUAAAUUCUUUGUUCAGGGUUCAUUGUGGAGAUCAGAACUGUGAGCCUGCUCUUGAAAUGGGGAACUGAGGAAAUUCUAGCAGAAAUAAUUCCUUGCACUUGUCUAAAUCUUACAGGUGUGGCUUGCCCUGCCCAUCUCUACAGUGACACAGUUCUGCAGCCCUGUGCAACUUCAUAGGAUCAUAGAUUUCAAGCUGGAAGGGACAAACCUAUUCACUGGAUGGAAGCUUGAAGGGACCAUUUUGAGAUGAAGCAGCAGGCUUAGACAAGUUAAAUGACUUGUUUAAAGUUAUGCAGGAAAACGUUGGGGCGCCCUCCUUCCCCGAGCCCGCCCAAAUGACAGAAUGAGAACAUCACACCCCCUCAAGGAACCUCAAGAGGUCAUCUGGUCCAGCCCCCUGCCUCCAGGCAGGUCUACACCUAAAUUGUCCUCGACAGAGCUUUCGGCUCGCCGGUCCCCAUUUGCUCCGAGCGCCCCAGCAGCCGGCACCAAUAUCUCCAGUGUUAAGAAUGUUCUUUUCCAAGACUUCUAGUGCUGUGGUUCCUGAGGAAGUUGGGGAUGCAUCACAUGGAGAAGCAACUACCAAGUCACAUCCCUCUCUAGACCAGAGAUUCUUAACAGGGUUGACUUCUGUGGUAGAGACAUGGAGAGAGAGAGGACGUGUAAGCCAAGAUGCAAGAAACAAGCUGGGGACCUGACCUACCUUUCAAUCAAGGAGAAGUUUCCAAAUGGAAUGUUCCCAGGAGUUGGCAGUUGGGGGUCUGACACAGAGGAGAAGAAGCAGGAUCUUGGACUUUGAUUCUGUCUCUGGCUCUGGGAGUUGAAGCUGACCAGGGGAGAAACUGGGACUUCUGAUUCUGUCUCUGGCUCUGGGGGUUGAAGCUGGCCAGGGGGAAGAAGCUGAACUGAUAUUAUUUAGUUUCUGUCCCAGACUGAAGGACCCUUGAGGGGGGGCUUCUGAAAUUGGUGGCUUUGUGAAGAAGAAAGAUUUUAACUGUUGUCCUCUAUCUCUGACUGUCCCUCUGUCACGGUUGUGACUUCCCAUGCCCUCAUAAUCUUCAUUUUAGAUUAGGAACACCCUCAUCCCUCUUACCUCAGUUUCCCAUCCUGUUUCCCAAUAAACCCCAUGACUUGAAAGGAAAAGAAAAGAGUAUCUUCAUAGUCUACUCAGGGGGGAGGGGGGAAGCCAAAGGCUUCAAGAAGAAACUGGGAGGGAGAGGGUUGGAGAAGGGAGGGAGUGAAGAGAGGAGGAGGUUAGAUUGAUCUACUAGUCAUCAGUAGGGAUCAGUAGCCAAUCCCCAGAGCAUUCCUCUGUAUCAGUAUCUCUCAGUGUCUCUCAAAGUACUUCUAUCUCCAUUGCAAAUAAGCAAGUGUGUCCCCAUACUUAGUAGCAGCUCUCUCUAGUCUCAAGUCAGAGUAUAGUCAGUUACAAGCAACCAGAAAUACUUUCCACAGAUUACCAUUUCUAUUUCACUCCUUAGAGUUCUUUUAAGUAUAGCAUCAUUUCUGCAAAAAAUGAUAGUUUUACUUCCUUAGCUUUGCUUAUUCCCUCAAUUUUUUUUGUCUUAUUGUGAUAGCCAACAUUACUAGUUCUAUGUCAAAAAGAAAUAGUGGAAACUGAUAUCUUCAUUUCGCCUCUAAUUUUAUAGGAAAGUUUGCUAGUUUAUUAUAUAUGAUGAUAGCUCUUGGUUUUAAACAAUGAUCAAUACAGUGAACACACAUGAUGCUAGAGGAACAGUGUGGAAACAUUCUAUCUACUUCCUAAAAGAGAUGAUAAAUUACAGGCAUAUAAUUAGGUAAGUAGAUAGGUAUGCAGAAAAUUAAUGUUUAGUUCUAUUAUUUAUUUGUAAUAUUUCUAUGGAAAAUCAUUCAUUUUUGCCUUUCAGAUUCAGACUGAAAUAGUCCAAGCCUCAGGGCCUUUGAAUUGGGCUGGGGCCUUUUGUCUUUUGUUCAACGCCCUUAUAUUUUAAAAAGAACACCUUCCCUAAGGCAUUUCAAUGUAGGGUAGGCCAACAUUUCCUUUAUUUGGUAAAGAACUAUUUCCCCUGUGAUGAAGUAAGGAGGGAAGAAUUGAGCACUCUAAGUCUUACUCCUCUUUUGAAAUAUCCACCAAUGGGGACUGCCCAAGGAGGUCUAAGGGAUAAACUGUCAGGCCAAUCAGAAAGAGGACACACUUCACAUUUUGAGAGUCAGGGAUCACUGAGGAUCUUUUGCUUGAGAGCCAGACACAAGGACCUAUUCUUUAAGUUACUGCAUGCUCCAUUAAUAAAU